rnacentral:ncRNA from 1 species
CAUUAGCUCGCGUUGAUUACGUCCCCUGCCCUUUGUACACACCGCCCCGUCGCUACUACCGAUUGAAUGGUUUAGUGAGGUCCUCCGAAUUGGACCCGGUCCCGGGCGGCGACGUCCGAAGCCGGCGUCCUUAGAAGACGAUCUAACUUGAUCAUUUAGAGGAAGUAAAAGUCGUAACAAGGUUUCCGUAGGUGAACCUGCGGAAGGAUCAUUA